UCACGUGGCAAUGCCCAACCACAGUGGAGCCAGAAGAUACACUCCUCCCAAAGGGGGCACAAUGAACCCACAGCAACAGGAAGAGAUGUACAGUCCUCUUAUAGGCAAGCUGCAAAUAACUGGGAACAAUAAGAUCAUCUACCACAAGAAAUCUUUAAUAAUUUCCAAAAAAUUCUUUUCAUUUGAGUCUGUUUAAUUAAUGUGAGAUCAAUUACAGUUUAUCUUACAAUAACCAUAUUUUAGAUUUUAUCUUCCUUCAAGAUUCUAAUGUUGUCCCAAACCUCAGCUUACAUCUGAUGGUAGGCUGUUCUCAAGAUGGACAGCUGCAUAUAUUUUAUUCUAGUUUCUAUUUCCAAAAGAUACAUUUUCUCAUGUUGUCCCCAAAUUCUUGGACCUAAGGCCCCUCAACUCUAACUGACAUUAGUUUAGGAAAGAGAAGGUGAGGAGAAAGGGACUAAAGGUCAGUGUCCUACUCUCUGCCUGGUUGCUGAGUGAGUGAAUGAGCAAAUUAAUGGGCUAUGGCAACUACUGACUGUGUCCCUGGAGGGCCCGAUGAUCAGAAGUGUCAGGCUUUGACUUCAGCAGGAAGAAAUGGUGGUCAGUGUUUGAACAAACUUCCUGGUUUGAAGGAGUUUGGGGGCUGUGGCAGACAGACUCUUAAGGAGGCCUACAUGAUUUUGCCUCCUGGUGUUCACAUCCUUGUGUGAUCCCCACCCCUUGAAUGUGGGUCCUGUGACUUGCUUCUAACCAGUAGAACCUGACAAAUGUGACAGUGAUUGUGUGUACGUGAUGACAUGAUUAUAUCACACGAGAUUGUAACACUUGCCUUGCUGGCAUCUCUCACUCUCUUGCUGGCUUUGAAGAAGCAAGCUGCCAUGUUGUGGCUGCCUUUGUUGGAAGGUGAUGUGGCAAGGAACUGAGGACGGCCUCUAGGAGCUGAGGAUGGACUCCAGCUGACAGCCAGCAAGACACAGAAGCCUUCCAUCCUAAAGCUGUAAGGAACGGAAUCCUGCUAACAAAAGUGAUCCUUCCCCAGACGAGCCUCAGAUGAGGUGGAGCCCCGACCGACACCUUGAUUGCAGCCUUGUGAGACCCUACGCAGAGGACCCAGUCUGUGCCCAGACUCCUGACCCACAGAAACUGAGAAAACUGUGAGAUGCUGUUGGUAUCAUAAAGGCUUAUGGGAGCAUCCUACAAAGAGAAAAGGCUCAUGGCACAGAGCAAAGAGCCCAGGUAGAAUCCAGGUGAGGUCCUCUGCUCAGGGAUUCGCAAGGCUGAAGUCAAGGUGUUGGCCAGUCUGCGUUCUCAUCUGGACGCUCGGGGGAAGAAUGUGCUUCCAACUUCAUUCAGGUGCUGGCAGAAUUCAGCUCCCAGCAGCUGUGUGAUUCAGGUCCCCGUUUUCUUGCUGGCUGUUGGAUGGGACUGCUUUUGGCUCCUAGAGGGUGCUCCCAGCUCCUCACCAUGUGGCCACCUCCACUGGCCGUUCGCAACAUGGCAGUUCACUCUUUAAGGCCAGCAAGAGAAUCUCUUUCCCUGUCAGCUGAAAUGAAGUCUUAUAUAACCUAAUCAUGACAUUAACAAACCCCCACCUUUGUCUUAUUAUGUAACCUCAUCACAGGAAUGGCACUCUAUCAUAUUCACAGGUCCUGUCCACUCUCAAGAGGAAGGAAUUACAUAGGAUGUGUAUACCAGCGGGCAGAACUCUGGGGGGCCAUCUUAGAAUUCUGCCUACCACGGGGCUGUGGGAUUAAAUAAGAUACUGUGUGUAAAACGCUUAGCUCAGUGCCUGGCCCAGAGAAAGACGCAAUAAGUGGUAGUCAUAGUCACCACCAUCAAUACGCAUAGUAGACAAAAUAAUGGCCCCCCAAAGAUGUCCUUGGAAUCUGUCAAUAUGUUAUGCUACGUGGCAAAGAAAAUGAAGGCUGCAGACGGAAUCAAGCUGGCUAAUCAGCUGACCUUAAAAUCGGGAAAUCAUCCUGGAUUUGCUCCUUAUGGAACCACAAGGGUCCUUCAAAGUGGAAGAGUGAGGCAGAAGAAGAGUCAGAACCAGAGAGAUGGCAGCAUGAAAAGACUUGGCCCAACGUUGCUGGCUUUCAAAAUGGAAGAAGAGGACCACGAGCCAAGGAAUGUGGGCGGCAAGGAAUGUGGCCAAGCUGGAAGGGGAGAGGAAUAGAUUUUCCCCUGGAGCCUCCAGGAAAGAAUGCAAGCCUGCUGUCACCUUGACUGUAGCCCGGCGAGACCUGUUUCAGACUUUGGACGUCCAGAACUGUAAGAUAAUAAAUGUGUGUUGUUUUAAGCCACUGCAUUUGUAGUAAUUUGUUCCAGCAUCCAUAGGAAACUAAUACAAUGUUAUGUGUUUUAUCAGGGCUACAGAAAAAGAUUAAAAUGACAGAGUUCAGGGUGCAUAUUGAUUCAUUGGCCAUUUAUAAAAGCCGGUUGAGAAACUGUGAAGUGGAGAAUCUGAAAUGGAGUAGGUGACAGUCUUCCUAUGGCCACUUUGCUCGGUCUGGGUGUAUGUGGUGUGAGGCCUAUGGAGGACGAAGACAGAGCAGAGCACUUCCAAAGGAGACUGACAUGAACGGAGGAGAAACUAGAGCUGAAAAGACAGUGGUGAUGUGCGGAUUGGAUGGGGUUGUUGGGAAAUAGUUGAUGAACUGUCUUUGGAAGAGAACUUAGAAAAGUUGUGCACAGUCCCGAGGGGAGAUGUACUGGGCGGAAGCUACCGGAACUCAGCGCUCAGCUCAGUAUGAGUAAUUGCUUUCUGGAAGUGAUGAUUGUAUCAGUUAGGAACAACAGAUCAGAACUAACAGUGGCUUAAGCAAGAGAGAAGUGUCUUUUCUGUCAUGGUAAAUGCCUUCUGGAGGUGAGAAGUCCAGGACUGGUUUGAAGGUACCAUGAUGUUAGGGAUCCAGGCUCCUUGAUGCGCCUUCUCCCCUAGGUUGAUGCCCUCACCCACACGGUCCAAGGCUGAGAAACAUCACAUCCAUAUUCCCAGAAGCAGGAAGGCGGAAGGGCACGGCCUUUAAGUUCACAUCCCAGAAGUUGCGUCCAUCACUUUUGCUCUCAUCUCAAUGACAAGAACAUGGGCAUAUGGCCUCCUGGCUGCAUAGGAAACUCAUUGUGGGUGGCCACGCAACUUGGCAAAAAGUUGGAGGUUUCUAUCACCAUGGAAAAGGAGGGAAAAAUUGAUUUGGGGGUUGGGGGGGGCAAGACCAACAAGCUCUGCAUAGUGAUGGCUGGGUUAUUUUGGAGGUAGGAUUUUGCUCUCUGUGCUGGACCCUCCCUGUUUUGACACUCCAAUAGCACCCUGAUUCCCCUUUUCAGAAAGAACCUCUCUCCCGUGGAAGUCUGAAGGGACUGUCAGUGGAGGUGCUGCUCUCCCAUAGCCAAGAGCUCCAGCAUUCAUUCUAACUCCAGCCUCAGGGAGAGACUGAUUCCUCUUACUCCUCGAACUGCCUAGUACCUGCCAUUUUUCAGACCAGUUCUCAAACCUUUCCUUGUCUGUCCAAACAUUUCCCUUCUGCUUUGAUCAAUUAGAGGGGAUUUCUUUUGCUUGCAACCUAUCACUCCUUACAGAUACACUCUCCCCGGAGUCUUGCAGCAGAAGCUUGCAACAUCUUGGCAGAACUGGAAGCAAUCCUGUUGUAGGGCAGUGCAUGUUUUACUAUUGCACUGGACAGUCAGAAAGCAAAACACCCACCAAAUGAAAUGAUUUUGCAAAGAUUUACAUUGCCAUCACUAAGUCACUCAGAG
rnacentral:lncRNA from 1 species